GAUGAACGCUGGCGGCGUGCCUAACACAUGCAAGUCGAGCGGGAUUUUGUUAAAUGAAGCUUCGGUAGAUUUUUAACAAAUGAGAGCGGCGGACGGGUGAGUAACGCGUAGGCAACCUGCCCUUUGCAGAGGGAUAGCCAUUGGAAACGAUGAUUAAAAACCUCAUAAUACUACGAAAGUGACAUCACAUUGUAGUCAAAGAUUUAUCGGCAAAGGAUGGGCCUGCGUCUGAUUAGCUAGUUGGUGGGGUAACGGCCUACCAAGGCGACGAUCAGUAGCCGACCUGAGAGGGUGAUCGGCCACAUUGGAACUGAGACACGGUCCAA
rnacentral:rRNA from 1 species